AGGGGGCCAGCCACAAAAGGGGGCAGGGGUGGGGGCAGAACCCAGGCCCCCUUUCUUGGUCCAGCGCCCCCACCGCGUUCCAGCCUGAGCUCCCAGCAGGGCCUGCUGCCCCGGAAGGGAAGGGGACAGCUUGAGGAUGCAGGUGACUGGAGUGACAGGUGACAGGUGCUUCAGGGAGCCAGCAGCCUCGUGCGUGCCACACCUCUCGCUCUAUUUCCUAGGAAGCGGACAGCCCCGGGCUCUCUCUGCGUCCAAGGCCUACAGAAACUUCCAGACCAGCCCCAGCCUUCUGCAGCUGAGGACAAGAAGCAGAGCGUCCUGGGUGUCCCAGAUGCCAUUCGGGGUGGCUGGUUAACGCAUUACCCUCCCUGCAGCCAAACCCCCGGCCUCUGGAAGAGACAGCAAAUCAUGAAUUCUAACCCAGGCCACACGCUCAGUGCUCACUUCUACUUGGGGUUAUCUGAGACCCCUCUUCUCCCGCUUUGUGGCUUUCACGGAAAAUAACUACUUUGAACCAAAGCCCUAGCAUCUAGGUGGAGCCCCAAAAGGGCAGGAAGUUACCGCCCCUGGCUUUGGAGGCCAGUGGAGGCCCACAGCACAUCCAUCACAGCCCCGGGGACACGGUGGUUCAAUGACUGCACUGGGCCUGCCACGUCAACACCCGCCCGCACACAAACGUGAAAGUCAACACAAGUUCCCAGCAACCCUGCCCGGCGAGCAGGAAGCCCUCAAAACGCCCUGCGUCCAUGUCUCCAGGAUCACAGCAAUCGCUGCUCAUUUUCCACCCACGGCAAAGAAAAAAGCCUUUAAUUCUUGGGUUUGCUUUUUCCCAGAAGAGGAAACAGGCUCGGAGGGGCUCACGUGGCCAGGAAGAGGUGGGGAGAGUCCUCCUGAUCCAACAUGUAGAGGGUGCCAGGGAGGUGCCUCACCUGUGAGUCCGUCCCAUCACCCCAACGACUGCGGGGACCCCUCUGGACAGGCCUGACUCACCUGUAGCUCCAAAAGCACACCUUCCCCACUGUCGUCGCCCUGGCACCAUAUUAGUGCAUUUGUGACAACGGAUGAGCCCACGCCGACCCAUCAUUAUCCCCCAGAGCCCGCGCUUUCCAUCAAGG